UACGUAGGGUGCAAGCGUUAAUCGGAAUUAUUGGGCGUAAAGUGUGCGCAGGCGGUCGAGCAAGUCGAGUGUGAAAGCCCCGAGCUUAACUUGGGAACUGCGCUCGAAACUACUUGGCUAGAGUGUGGCAGAGGGAGGUGGAAUUCCACGUGUAGCGGUGAAAUGCGUAGAGAUGUGGAGGAACACCGAUGGCGAAGGCAGCCUCCUGGGCCAACACUGACGCUCAUGCACGAAAGCGUGGGGAGCAAACAGG
rnacentral:rRNA from 1 species